AUUACAGACCUCUUUCUGAAAAGCCCGGAAUUGGUACAAGCCAUGUUUCCCAAACUGAACAAUCAAGAAAGAGUUACACUGUUAGACCUUAUGAUAGCCAAGAUAACGAGUGAUGAGCCACUCACCAAGGAUGACAUCCCUGUGUUUUUGCGGCAUGCUGAGUUGAUUGCAAGCACCUUUGUGGAUCAGUGCAAGACUGUGCUCAAGCUGGCCUCUGAGGAGCCUCCUGAUGAUGAGGAGGCACUGGCUACAAUUAGGCUUCUCGACGUCCUGUGCGAAAUGACUGCGAAUACCGAGCUGCUCGGCUAUCUGCAGGUUUUCCCUGGCUUGCUGGAAAGAGUGAUUGAUCUUUUACGGGUGAUUCAUGUAGCUGGAAAAGAAACCACAAACAUCUUCAGUAAUUGUGGUUGCGUGAGAGCAGAAGGUGACAUCUCCAAUGUGGCUGAUGGGUUUAAGUCUCAUCUCAUUCGUCUGAUUGGAAAUCUGUGUUACAAGAAUAAAGAUAACCAAGACAAGGUAAGAGGAUUUCUUAGUAUGUAUUAUACAUGUAUGGCUUCAUUUAGAAUAUAGUCCUUGGAAGACAUUCACUCUUUUGGAGUGAAAGCUUGAGGUGCUUAGAAAGUAGCUUGGAUAGAGAGAUAUAUAUUUUAUAUGAAUACACACACACACACACAUAUAUAUACACACACACGUGUGUGUGUAUAUAUAUGUAUAUGUUAAUAUAUAGGCUCUUUGGAGCCUA
rnacentral:sRNA from 1 species